CACGUAGGGUGCGAGCGUUGUCCGGAAUUAUUGGGCGUAAAGAGCUCGUAGGCGGUGUGUCGCGUCGGCCGUGAAAACCUGCAGCUUAACUGUGGGCUUGCGGUCGAUACGGGCAUCACUGGAGUUCGGCAGGGGAGACUGGAAUUCCUGGUGUAGCGGUGAAAUGCGCAGAUAUCAGGAAGAACACCGGUGGCGAAGGCGGGUCUCUGGGCCACUACUGACGCUGAGGAGCGAAAGCGUGGGGAGCGAACAGG
rnacentral:rRNA from 1 species